CCCCUUUUGCCUGAUCCUAUGCUCGUGGAUUCGGAGGAGGUGCCAUCCUCCGGCGGCAGGUGCAACCCGCCUACCCCUUCCUGACAUGGUGGUUUCGACUAGCGUUGGCCUCCCCAUCUACGUUUCCGGAUUUGGCGGCAAUGGGAUUGCUCAGCUUUAGGCCAGGGAGAGAUCCCUGCUCGGCUUGCCGGUGCUGGUAGCGACGGCGCCCGCGGGUGUCGUGUCCUUCUUGGAGGCGCUGCCAAGGCCUUCAGCUUAGCCCCUCUUCGAGCUCAGGGGAAACCCUAGGUACGGGUCCCCCGGACCGGAUAGUGGCGAUGUCCUGGCAUCAUCUUCCUUCUUGAAGGCACUAUCUUGCUCGCUCGAGGUGUCCCCGUUUUCGGCUCGGACGAUGGUGGAAUUCUUGUUGGUUUGGCAUUACCAUUCUUGGCUAGGGUCUGGCUGAUUUAGCUGUGUUGUAUCCUCUCAUCCCCUGUCUCUCUCCUCUGGGCACCAUGUACACGCCUUCCUGCAUUCGUGUUAUGUGUUGUACCCCUUUUAUACUCAUUCUACUUCUUUCUAUCAAUGCGAUGAUACGCAAGCUUUGCGCAUUCGCGAAAAUUCUCUUCCUGCAGCUAGCAGGAAGUUGAUGCAUGUAUGCAUUUUGAAACACUUGUCGUGAUUUUAGUUUAAUUUUGUACUAAAAUCACGACAAGUAUUUUGAAAAGCAGGGAGCAGUAUGUAUUUUACAUAGCCAAUCAGGCCAUGCCUUGUUAACCCAAGCACUCUCGAGUCUCGAGAGCUACAAUUUGUAGCCUACAAAUGUGUGCAGUUUCAUUCAGUUUCAACACUGCCUAACACUCGUUGUGUUAUCUCUGAAGCAGCUCAACUGUCUGGAUCGCACCGAGCGGGAGGGUUUGAGCGGAAAGCUGUCGCGGGGGAAGAGGUCGGUGGCAGUCAUGAAGAGGAACGUGUGGAUCAUGAUCGGCAUGCUGGGAGUGUCCACAUGUCUGCUCUACCUGAUGAUCUCCGUACUCAACAGUGAGGUGUCGGCCCUCGAAGUGGAGGCCGCCAAGCUCGAAAGCGGCCCUCUUCAGGUGGACUUCGGCUUGACUGAAGUAAGAAACCGAUCCAGUUUAGGAGCCGUGCCUUUCUCGAUGUACUAUGCAAGUGCCGGAUGUUGUUUUAGGUGUGAGCGCUUGGAGAUGGUGUUAUUGGCAACAGCCGUGAAAGUUAUGUGCCGAUUGCUCAGUUUUAUCGCUGUGUGUCUUUUGUGUUCCUCUCUUACGUGCCUG
rnacentral:lncRNA from 1 species